rnacentral:tRNA from 1 species
AUUAGGAUGGCAGAGCCCGGUUACUGCAAAAGACCUAAACUCUUUCUACGGGGGUUCAACUCCCCUUCCUAAAU